rnacentral:rRNA from 1 species
UACAGAGGUCUCGAGCGUUAGGCGGAAUCAUUGGGCUUAAAGCGUGUGUAGGCGGACUGGUAAGUACCUUGUGAAAUCCCACGGCUCAACCGUGGAACUGCUUGGUAUACUGCUUGUCUUGUGCAACCUAGGGGCGAGCGGAACAAAUGGUGGAGCGGUGAAAUGCGUAGAUAUCAUUUGGAACGCCAAUGGUGAAAACAGCUCGCUGGGGGUGCACUGACACUGAGACACGAAAGCCAGGGGAGCGAACGGG